rnacentral:tRNA from 5 species
GGCCCCGUGGUGUAGUGGUCUAACAUGCCACCCUGUCAAGGUGGAGAUCGGCGGUUCGAAUCCGCUCGGGGUCGCCA